GACUCCCCAGCAACGGGAUAUCCCACAACUUGCCUUGUAGGCAUCUGGCCCCUUUUGUGUUGGUGUUGUCCUUUUUGAUGUAUGGGGCAAAGAUCACUGGGAGCUGGCACCUUUGGCUUAUUCUUCUUUUCACUGUCUAUGUAAGUAAUAAACUAUCCAAAUCUAAAA
rnacentral:lncRNA from 1 species